UCUUUGGAAAUUAAUUUGGCGAGUAUAGCAGACUUUCUGGGUCUUCAAAAAGAAAAGCUAACCUCAAAGUUGUCCUGUUAUUCCGGAACAUUCGAAACUCUUCGAGACAGUCAAAAUAAACAGGACUUCACUGCGUAGGAAAAGUCUCUUGGCUUGUACCAGGACUUGUGUGAAGCCUCACUCGACCAUCCUCGUCAAAGAACCACUCUGGAGCUGUUGUAUCUCCGGACUUUGCAACUGUAAAAAACAAAUCAUUUUAAUUAAUAUUUAAUAAAUUGUAAAACAAAAUA